rnacentral:lncRNA from 1 species
AAAGUUGCAGUUGCCCGGGUGAUUUAUUUGAGGUUAUAAACCGCGUGUAAACAAACCAAAACAAACGAAAACUGAUACAGAAUGUUCCUCUUUCUUAGUUUCUUGUCAUGUAUUGGUAAUUUCGGUCUCUCUAAAUAGUGAAAUAGUCAUUCGUCUCUGACUUAAAGCAGAGUGAACAGUGGCCAGUCUUCUUAUUUGCAAAAGUCCCAAGUAAUUCUAUCAGCAGUGACAAACUCAGUUUGCAAAGCUUAAAUUUUUUCGGCCUCUUCGGAUGAAAUUCAUUUCUUGUAGAAUAUUAUAAUGCAUAAAACAGCCUAAGCAGCAGAAUGUUUCGGCAGAGAUCCUCAGAAGGCAGUCCGGUGGCUCCUGAUGGCAGAGAUGAAAGUGAAACAUCCAAGUCAAGGGCUUCUGUAACUCGUUCCAUAAGCAGUAAACAAUGCAAGUGCUAUGAAUAUUGAUUCUACCAAGAAUGAACCUGAUGUCAAAGAAAAACUGAGCAACCUUGGAAAUGUAAAUUUAGCUUUACUAACAAAACACCUUUUUCAAAAGAAGAUCUGAAAGAGGUAAGCAUCAAUCUAUUUACAUUACCGAUUCACAAUUUAAUUAUUCAUGCAAUUGGUGACUGUAUUUCAUUAUUUUGCAACAUAAUUUCGAGAUUAAUCAUUAGUUUUGGUUUAAAAAAAAAAUCCAGUUCAAAGCAGUUUGAUACAAUAGACCGUUCAUAAAAUAUUUAACGUUAAAUAUGG